CUGGGCACUACUGUGUCUUGGUACCACCCGUUACUGCGGAUCUUCCAGGUGAAUGACAGUCAUGGAAUUUCAUAUGAGCCUGUACCCCUUGGCAGAAUUAGUUUAGCAGAGCAAAGCCAUUGCCUCAAAAAGUCCUGAAGGCAAGACAGGAGGGAGUGAUUUCCAAAAAGGUGAGAAAGAAGCCAAGAACACUGGGUACCCUCUGAGAGAGGCAGUCCAGCGGUCUGAGACUGGGAACCUUGUGGCCCCAGAGAUCCCUUCAGAGGGGAGAGGGAAGAGGGGACUGUUAAAGUGGAACAAAAUGCAAAGGUCUGGGCCGCAUGGGUACGUGCACUCGACCAAACUCAGCAACUGUGCACGUGAGGCUGGGGCAGCCCCUUACGUGUAAAUUCUCCCUCAAAAGAAAGAAACCAACAUUGAGCUGGUCAGUGAUAUUCAUGCUAAAAGAUUGAGGAGAGUAUUAUGAUGCCUGCAAUUUCCAUCAAAAUAUAAAAAUUAAGAUGGACUGAUAGAUGGAUGGCUAUAUGGAUGGCUAUACAUACAAUAUAGCAGAUAGAAUAAAGGCGAGUGGUUAGAAUCCAGGUGGGUAGAUGGAUGUUCACUGUAACGUGUUCAUUUUUGUUAUGUGUUUGAGAAAUGUUCUUACCAUAACAUUGGGGGAAAAUGAGGCAAAGACAAAGCGGAAAAGGAGAAUGGGGGAGCCCUGAAUUUCAGCCCCACUUUGCCACUUUCUCCAGGGCUGGCUCAGGGCAGUGGGGGCGGAGCCACGCCCUGGCUCUGC